rnacentral:rRNA from 1 species
AGCGUUGUCCGGAAUUAUUGGGCGUAAAGAGCUCGUAGGCGGUUUGUCGCGUCUGUCGUGAAAGCCCAGGGCUCAACCCUGGACCUGCAGUGGGUACGGGCAGACUAGAGUGCGGUAGGGGAGAUCGGAAUUCCUGGUGUAGCGGUGAAAUGCGCAGAUAUCAGGAGGAACACCGGUGGCGAAGGCGGAUCUCUGGGCCGUAACUGACGCUGAGGAGCGAAAGCAUGGGGAGCGAACAGG